rnacentral:misc_RNA from 1 species
AGAGAGAGAGAGAGAGAGAGAGAGAGAGAGAGAGAGAGAGAGAAGGUGGCGGGUUGUCGGGUGCUGGUUGGGUAUUUGGUGGAGAGGUCAGAGGCAGAUUUGGCGGCGCUUUUGCCCGGUCUGGUGGCUGGCAGGAGGAGGAGGAGGAGGCGCCGCCGCGGAGGCCAUGGCCAUGCGAGCAGCUUGGAAAAUCAAGAAAGGGAGGUUAAAGAAAAGAGGGAAGAGAAAGGGAGAGAGGCGUAUGCCGUAUGGUAUGGAUGGACGGCUAUUUGACCUUCGCAGCGCAGCCAAACCAAACCAAACCAAACCAAGCCAGUGCAACGAGAGGAGAGAAAGGGGGAUGACAGGAGACGACGGAGUGAGCA